GGUUUGUUUUACUGCAGAGUGUUGUCCUGUUCCCUCUCACUGUGUGGCUGCAUGAACACCUGGCAGAUGGGAGAGGGGGAUGCAAGUGGCAAUAAACAGGCCAAGGACUGGAARGUGACGACCAUGACCCUAGAAAAAGCCUAAAGAAAACAACCUUGUUACGAGACAUACCUUGCAAUAGAUGUUUGCUUAACUGGAAAUCCGCAAGAGCAGCUGCCCAGUGCAACAGUACAUAUUUGCUUCUGAAUCCUUUCUCAAAGACACUAUUUAAACAUGUUGAUGAACCGAGUUGGAUUCUUCCCCACCUCCAUUCCAGCAAAAGAAAGAGACUCAGAAGAUAAAAUUCAUUUUGUUAUUGCAAGUAGUGCUAUGUGCUCUUCAGAUUCAGCAGAAUAAAUGGCAUGAAGAWGGCAGACACCUGAACAAAACAAAAAAGGAAUGAAAUUCCAUUGUUCUUCAGACAACUAAGAAGAGAAAAGAAGAUGCUACUGCAAAAUAUUCAGACUUGUCCCACCUGCURGCUUGGACAAUCCCAAGCACAAAUACAGACUGAUCAGCGAAUGGAUUGAGAGCAGCCCUGCUGAGAAGGAGUUGGAGGUGCUGGUGGAUGAGAAGUUCAACAUGACCCAGCAUGGAACAGGUUGCCCAGAGAUGUUGUGGAUGCCCCAUCCCUGGAAGUCUUCAAGAGCAGGCUGGAUGGGGCUUUGAGCAGCCUGGUGUAGUGGAAGAUGUCUUUGCCCAUGGCAUGGAGUUUGGAACUUGAUGAUCUUCAAUGUUCCGUCCAAUCCAAGCCGUUAUGUUUCCAUUAAUCUGUGAUCACAUGAAUGCAUUCAGUGUUGCUCAGCAUGUUCAUUCACUAAAGAUCUAAACUUUCUUAAUUAAUUAUAUACUUUAAGGGUCUUCUUAACUGUUCUCUGUAUGUGUCAUAUUGUUAGUGUUUAGAAAAAAUAGCAAUUUUGCUGCACCAGCUGAUUAAAAAAUGUGCAUAUACAUUUUGAAUAUUUUUCAAACCCAUGAAAUUUCAUUUUUAGAAUGGCUGUGGGAACUUAAGACAUUSGGAUUAUCAGUUCAAAAGAUCUGUUAGUACAGACCAGAUCAAUAUCAUGUGCACUAUUUCUACAUUCAUCAUUCAGGACUACUGACKUUUUGCACAUUUUGUAGCAGAAAUAAUCUGCAAGCUGAGAAUAAAAAUAAAUGCUGCUUGAC